rnacentral:rRNA from 1 species
GGGAAUAUUGCACAAUGGGCGAAAGCCUGAUGCAGCGACGCCGCGUGAGGGAUGACGGCCUUCGGGUUGUAAACCUCUUUCAGCAGGGACGAAGCGAAAGUGACGGUACCUGCAGAAGAAGCACCGGCCAACUACGUGCCAGCAGCCGCGGUAAUACGUAGGGUGCAAGCGUUGUCCGGAAUUAUUGGGCGUAAAGAGCUCGUAGGCGGCUCGUCGCGUCGGCUGUGAAAACCUGGGGCUCAACCCCGGGCCUGCAGCCGAUACGGGCGAGCUAGAAUUCGGUAGGGGAGACUGGAAUUCCUGGUGUAGCGGUGAAAUGCGCAGAUAUCAGGAGGAACACCGGUGGCGAAGGCGGGUCUCUGGGCCGAUAUUGACGCUGAGGAGCGAAAGCGUGGGGAGCGAA